rnacentral:rRNA from 1 species
GACGAACGCUGGCGGCGUGCCUAAUACAUGCAAGUAGGACGCUGAAGGAGGAGCUUGCUUCUCUGGAUGAGUUGCGAACGGGUGAGUAACGCGUAGGUAACCUGCCUGGUAGCGGGGGAUAACUAUUGGAAACGAUAGCUAAUACCGCAUAAUAGUAGAUGUUGCAUGACAUUUGCUUAAAAGGUGCAAUUGCAUCACUACCAGAUGGACCUGCGUUGUAUUAGCUAGUUGGUGGGGUAACGGCUCACCAAGGCGACGAUACAUAGCCGACCUGAGAGGGGGGUCGGCCACACUGGGACUGAGACACGGCCCAGACUCCUACGGGAGGCAGCAGUAGGGAAUCUUCGGCAAUGGACGGAAGUCUGACCGAGCAACGCCGCGUGAGUGAAGAAGGUUUUCGGAUCGUAAAGCUCUGUUGUAAGAGAAGAACGAGUGUGAGAGUGGAAAGUUCACACUGUGACGGUAUCUUACCAGAAAGGGACGGCUAACUACGUG